rnacentral:rRNA from 1 species
AGACGAACCGGACGAAUGUUAUUCGGAAUUACUGGGCUUAAAGAGUGCGUAGGCGGCUUGGCAGGUUGGGUGUGAAAUCCCUCGGCUCAACCGAGGAACUGCGCUCAAAACCGCCAGGCUUGAGGGAGGCAGGGGUGAGCGGAACUGAUGGUGGAGCGGUGAAAUGCGUUGAUAUCAUCAGGAACACCGGUGGCGAAGGCGGCUCACUGGGUCUCUUCUGACGCUGAGGCACGAAAGCUAGGGUAGCGAACGGGAUUAGAAACCCGGGUAGUCC